CGCUGGCGGCGCGCCUAACACAUGCAAGUCGAACGAGAGAUGAGGAGCUUGCUCUUCAAAUCGAGUGGCGAACGGGUGAGUAACGCGUGAGGAACCUGCCUCAAAGAGGGGGGACAACAGUUGGAAACGACUGCUAAUACCGCAUAAGCCCACGGCUCGGCAUCGAGCAGAGGGAAAAGGAGCAAUCCGCUUUGAGAUGGCCUCGCGUCCGAUUAGCUAGUUGGUGAGGUAAUGGCCCACCAAGGCGACGAUCAGUAGCCGGCCUGAGAGGGUGAACGGCCACAUUGGGACUGAGACACGGCCCAAACUCCUACGGGAGGCAGCAGUGGGGAAUAUUGCACAAUGGGGGAAACCCUGAUGCAGCGACGCCGCGUGAGUGAUGAAGUAUUUCGGUAUGUAAAACUCUAUCAGCAGGGAAGAUAAUGACGGUACCUGACUAAGAAGCACCGGCUAAAUACGUG
rnacentral:rRNA from 1 species